AGGAUAGAGGCACGUGGACGGUGACCCUCGGGAUGCAAUAAAUGCUGAGACAGAUCAGGUGUGCAAGGCACAGAGCUAGAGGCCAGAGGCCUUUCUUCUCCAACCUUCAGUCACCUCUUUUUAAAGUGAAGCCAGCAUCCUCCUCGGGGUUUACUGUGAAAAUUAAGUGAGCUGACGCGUGCUGUGUUUUGAUGUUGCUUGGCUCCUACAAACAUUGAGUGGGCCAGACACUGUUCUGAAAAAUACGCAGUCGACUUUUGAACAGCACAGGCUUGAACUGCAUGCGGCCACUAAUACUCGGACUUCCUUCUGCCUCUGCCAUCCCUAAGACAGCAAGACCCACCCCUCCUGCUCCUCAGCCUACUCGAUGUGAUGAUGGUGAGUAUGAAGACCUUUACUUUAUGAUGAUCCACUUCCAUUUAAUGGAUAGUAAAUAUAUUUUCUCUUCCUAUGAUUUUCUUAAUACCAUUUUCUUUUCUCUAGCUUACUUUAUUGAAAGAAUACAGUAUCUAAUACAUAUGACAUGCAAAA
rnacentral:lncRNA from 10 species